AUGAACCCUUCUGGCAAAUUCUGCACACAGAGCCAAGGGAUCCCCAGAGCUAAGUUUCUUGCAUUUGUCUUCCUGCAAGUGGUUGGAGCCCAAGCAGACCCCCUUCCCACCAUGGCCCAGAUGCUGUGCUGCAUGGCCCUUUGUCUCCUGGGAGCAGGCACAGUGCGUAGUGGCGUCACUCAGACCCCAAAAUACCUGCUCAGAGAGGAAGGACGAGAUGUGACCCUGGACUGUGAACAGAACUUAAGUCAUGACUCCAUGUACUGGUACCGGCAGGACCCAGGGCAAGGGCUGAGACUGAUCUACUUCUCGACAGUUGUGAAGGACGUUCAGCAGGGAGACCUGGCAGAGGGCUACCGCGCCUCUCGGGAGAAGAAGCCAUUCUUUCCCCUCACUGUGACAUCCACCCGAAAGAGCCAGACAGCUGUGUAUCUCUGUGCCAGCAGUGCAGACACAGUGGAGCACGGCCCCCUCCCCUCUGUGCACAAACGUGUCUGA